UUUGUUCUAUGACGAGGCUACGGAAUAAGCACUGGGCACAGUGCCUGACGUCAGUGAUGAAUAUUCCAUGCUGCCUUCCUUCUGAGAACAAA